rnacentral:misc_RNA from 1 species
GAUGAAGAACGUAGCGAAAUGCGAUACUUGGUGUGAAUUGCAGAAUCCCGUGAACCAUCGAGUCUUUGAACGCAAGUUGCGCCCGAAGCCAUUAGGCCGAGGGCACGCCUGCCUGGGCGUCACACGUCGUUGCCCCCCCAUCUACUCCUUCGGGAUUGCGGGGGGCGGAUGAUGGCCUCCCGUGCGCCUCAUCGCGCGGUUGGCAUAAAUGCCAAGUCCUCGGCGACGCACGCCACGACAAUCGGUGGUUGCGAAACCUCGGUUGCCCGUCGUGUGCGGUCGUCGCGCAUCGAGGGCUCGAAAAAAUUGCCGGGCUCCGGCUCGGCUUUCAACGCGACCCCAGGUCAGGCGGGGUUACCCGCUGAAUUUAAGCAUAUCAAUAAGCGGAGGA